UACGGAGGGGGGCUAGCGUUGUUCGGAAUACUGGGCGUAAAGCGCACGUAGGCGGACUGUUAAGUCGGGGGUGAAAUCCUGGGGCUCAACCUCAGAAUUGCCUCCGAUACUGGCAGUCUCGAGUGCGGGAGAGGUGAGUGGAAUUCCCAGUGUAGAAGGUUGAAAAUUCGUAGAUAUUGGGAAGAACACCAGUGGCGAGGCGGCUCACUGGCCCGUAACUGACGCUGAGGU
rnacentral:rRNA from 1 species